rnacentral:lncRNA from 1 species
GGUGAAGCAUAUGCUUUCACAACAUGCUGUGCAGAUAACGAAGCUGCGUUUGUUUUCACGUGGUACACAACAUUCACUGUAAUCUGUUUUUGAUUCUAAAGAAGUGCCAAAGGCCACCUCUUUUUCAAGGACGUCAUGGAAAUAUUUGGCGAGACCUUUUUACAGCCCCUCAUAAUGGAAGUGUGGCCAGUCAGCUUUGCUUGGAUGCCUUUAUAGAUUUCUCUUCCUGAUCAUUGUGUGCUAUCAAAUUGCUAAAGUCUAUUU